rnacentral:tRNA from 1 species
UCCAGGUAGUCCAGGUGCUGCAGGAUCCCGGCGAUGUCGCCGCCGUAGAACGAAGAGUAGUCCGGCUUUCCGUCCGUGCGGUACGGACUCUUGGAA